rnacentral:rRNA from 1 species
CCUACGGGAGGCAGCAGUAGGGAAUCUUCCGCAAUGGACGAAAGUCUGAUGGAGCAACGCCGCGUGAGCGAUGAAGGCCUUCGGGUCGUAAAGCUCUGUUGUCAGGGAAGAACAAGUAUCGGAGUAACUGCCGGUACCUUGACGGUACCUGACCAGAAAGCCACGGCUAACUACGUGCCAGCAGCCGCGGUAAUACGUAGGUGGCAAGCGUUGUCCGGAAUUAUUGGGCGUAAAGCGCGCGCAGGCGGUCCUUUAAGUCUGAUGUGAAAGCCCACGGCUCAACCGUGGAGGGUCAUUGGAAACUGGGGGACUUGAGUGCAGAAGAGGAAAGCGGAAUUCCACGUGUAGCGGUGAAAUGCGUAGAGAUGUGGAGGAACACCAGUGGCGAAGGCGGCUCUCUGGUCUGUAACUGACGCUGAGGCGCGAAAGCGUGGGGAGCGAACAGGAUUAGAUACCCUGGUAGUCCACGCCGUAAACGAUGAGUGCUAAGUGUUAGAGGGUUUCCGCCCUUUAGUGCUGCAGCAAACGCAUUAAGCACUCCGCCUGGGGAGUACGGCCGCAAGGCUGAAACUCAAAGGAAUUGACGG